rnacentral:lncRNA from 1 species
UCUGACUGCCUUUUCUCUAAAAAAUACUUUCUCAGUUUCAUUGUCAAUGACCUAGCAAAGGUUAGCCAUAAAUCUUUUUCUCAGCAAGGAUGCUGAUAGUUUAAGAGCUUCUCUAAUAAGCAAGGAUGUAUUUCUGAGCUUAUAACCAAAACAGCAUGAUCUUAUCUUCUGAGAAGUAUUAAGAUAAAGCUUUCUAAAUCCAACAGAAUGCAUCAAAAAGAGGAACCGAUGUUACAGAAGACUUUGUGAUGUUUAAACAUCAAGAUUCAUUUAUGGAGCUAUUGUGCUAUACUGCAGUCUUGAAAGACAUCUGAAACUUAUGCAAACUUUCGGAUUUUGUCUUAAUCUAAGAGGUUCUGCCUCUAUCCAUUAACUUGACUCAGCAAACUGAAGAUGUUUGGCUGUCUUGCUGUGGUUACUGCUCAUAUUCACUCUUUCAUGGCAACUGCUAUUCUAUGAAAUGAAAAUAGAAUAAGAUGCUUUAACAUAAUUGCCAUUUUAGACAAGUUUGUUUUCCUUUUAUGUUUAAAAUUGAGAUUAUUUUAACGUUGUAUUUCUCCAUAAUCAUCAUGCCAAUAUGUGAUGUGUUUCUAUGGAAACAGAAGAAAGUAAUAGCUGAGUUCUAGGAAGUCUUGUUCAACUCAGUGACUAAAUCUAACACAAUUCCACUGUGAGUAGACAUAGAUCAAUUUGAAUCCUACCUGAAAAGUGUAAGAAGUUCUUGCUCAUUAAUUAUUUGAAGAGGAUAGAGAAAUACUUUCACUGUAAGGCUCUGGAGAAUUAAAUACCUAUUAAUUUUCAACCUGUGCCAUCCAAAAUACAAUGUUGUAUCUCAUGUUUCUGUUUAGAAUGUAAUUUAAAAUAAUAGAAUGAAAAAAAAAAAAGAAGAAGAAAAGCAUAUUACAUAGCUUGUCAUGAUGAUAUGGCAAAGAAUAUUCUAAUUAUCUUGCUUAAGGAAAUCAAUUAGAUAGUUAUACAUAAGCCAGCGAGUAAAACCAACCUUCAUUAGCACCGUGCACUAAAAACCUUUGAAUAUAAAACCAGUAUCCCCCAAAUUAUACAGAAUGUUUAUCACUUUCAACAUUCACAUGAGAUAACACAAAUCUCGGUUCAACUAAAAUUAAAUAUAUGUAAGAGAUACAGGCUAGCUUUGUCUUUGUAGAUAAAAUAGUGGAGCUUAUUUGUUUGAAGAGUUUGCUUAUUUAAUUCUCUAAAAUGAUGAUACGUUUAGCAGGUUAAGGAUACUUGAAUCAAAACAUAUGGCUGCAGUUUUGUUUUCUUUAAAAAUUAAUUUGAAGUGUCAUUUCCUUGCUGAUCUCAAAUGCACAGAGACUAUGAUGAUCAAAAUCUUCCAUGAAUUUCAGAGUGCUUCAGAUGAACUUUUAACAAGUUCAGCUCCCUAAAGUGUUGAAGAAAAUGCACCUGUAAAGACUCUACAUUUCACUGCUUCCCACUUGUAUGCAUGAUUUAAUAAAAUACGAUAUACAUCUUCA